rnacentral:rRNA from 1 species
ACGGAAGGCAGCAGUGAGGAAUAUUGGUCAAUGGACGGAAGUCUGAACCAGCCAAGUCGCGUGAAGGAUGAAGGUAUUAUGUAUUGUAAACUUCUUUAGCAGUGGAGUAAUAAGGGGAUCGCGAUCCCUGAUGCAAGUACACUGAGAAUAAGGAUCGGCUAACUCCGUGCCAGCAGCCGCGGUAAUACGGAGGAUCCGAGCGUUAUCCGGAUUUAUUGGGUUUAAAGGGUGCGCAGGCGGCUUUUUAAGUCAGUGGUUAAAUCGUGACGCUCAACGUCAUCACGCCAUUGAUACUGGAGAGCUUGAUUGCGGUCGAGGUUUGCGGAAUUCGUUGUGUAGCGGUGAAAUGCAUAGAUAUGACGAAGAACACCGAUUGCGUAGGCAGCAGACCAGGCCGUAAAUGACGCUCAUGCACGAAAGUGCGGGGAUCUAACAGGAUUAGAUACCCUGGUA